rnacentral:tRNA from 1 species
AGGGUACUAGCUCAGUGGUAGAGUGCAUGCUUAGCAUGCAUGAGGUCCUGUGUUCAAGCUCUGCUACCUCC